CAUGGGCUAUUGCAGCGGCCGCUGCACGCUGGUGGCGGUGUGCGGCGCGCAGCUGUUGGGAUUUUAGCCUGCAUCUCAACUGGCAAGUCACCAGUUACAUGGAACUGACAAGUUACCAGUUACAUGAAUGGGAAUAGGAAAAGUCUAUCAUAUCCUGCAUUCAUACCAUAACAGAUUGGGGUCUAGUUUCUUCACUCUUCUUUUCUUAUGAAGGAAUUCUCAUUAGUAGAAUUUUGUACAGAAAGCAGCAUAUGAAGUCGAUUCUGUUAUUUCUGAGAGAUGUCAAAAUGAUGAUGCUGGUCAAAUGUUACAUCACCUUUCUGAAUGCAAAAAUGCAAGACCAUUUGCAGAUGGCAGGAGAGAGAUUCUUGCUGUCUCAUUUAAGCAUGUAAUAUGUGGGUUGUGAACCACCUUAUGGAGGUGGCUGCCUCUUUCCAUUGACUGUAUUGGGUCGUUGAGUUGCUGCCCAGUUGGGGAUGAAAUGUCUGCCUUUAUUCUGCAUGCACCUUUGUUUAUUUACCACAUUACACAGUUAAACCUGCUCAUCUUUGAUGGUAUCUUUCUAUUAAGAAGAGAGGACAGACUGUGAAGCUGUUAUCUAGGAUUUAGGCAAAAUACACAUGGAUGAUGUGUAACGUUUCUUCUGGAUGAAUGGAAGUCAUGUUAGAGGCCUGGAACAAGGGCCAGGGUGCUGCCCCUGCUCACCUUGAAUAACAUUUGCUGAUUGAUUCCAUAGUAGUGAAUGAAAAUGGUUUCCAGAACAAGACUUGAGACCCUCUAUCUCGUAAUGCUAAGGUACUGGUUAAUAUUUAUGUAACAAAACUUGACAGUCUUAGGAACUAAUGUAAUUCCCUUCCAGGUGACUCAUACCAUCAGUCAAUUUACUAAUUAAAAAUUCCUUUAAACUUCUUCAUAGGAGACUACUAAUUGUCCCGCAACAAGUAUAUUCUUUUCACUUGAAGAUAAAAAGCUUUUGUGAGGAAAAGAAGACAGAUACUAUGAUGUCUCUUUACUACAAUACAUGGAUCUUUGAAAAGUCAUUCUUCAAUAAUUAAACAAAAUGUAAAGUUUGCAAAUUUUUGCCAAGGCCGACAACGGCCCAGCAUUUUCCAUUAUUCUCUGGUCACAGUCUCUGUGGCAGGCUGUUCCAUUACAAAGCACAGAAACAAAAGGAGAAAAGAGCUGGUUGUAUGUCACUGCUGCCUUCACAAAGCUACAAAUACAUUAAACUGAAGAUACUGCUCAUUGUGUACUUGAGCCACCAGUGUCAAAGGUGCUGUGAGUACCACUGAAUAUCAGGCAGUCAUAUGUCAUUACAUCACUAUUCAAAUUGGAAGAGCAAAUGACAGUAAAACAAUUGAAAACACUAGCAGCUAAAAGAGUGAAAAAGAAUAACAUGCUUGCCUGAAAAAAAAAAAAAAGAAUUUAAAAUGUAGAUUACAUUUUUUUUCAUUAGAUAAAAGUUAAUAUUUCCUUUUUUUUUUUUUUUUUUUCUCUCCUUGAAGCCACUCCCAUUCCAUGCUCUUUAGGCCAGUUAGCUUUUAUUUUAUGACACUAGUAGCAGUCACAGACAGUGACAGCAGUUGGUAACAUGCCAGAUGAUGGCACUGGUAGUGUUAACAUAAGACAUGGGCUUCAGUGUAUCCUGAAAACAGUUCAUUGUCUUUGAUUUUAUCAGACUGGCUUUUCUGAGUGUGGAGCUAGCAGUAAAUUUGGUACUUGCAGAGGGAAAACCACAACAAACUGGAGUUGCAUGCAGCAUUCAUCAAUAUACCCAGUGAUGCGUGUUUCUCAGAAUGUUUACAGGUCUGCUGUCUAGUACAAUUUUUAUUUAUUUAUUUAUUUUAAAUGAAAGCCAUCACCCGGAGGCAGAUACAAAAGAAAGUUGCUGGCUUCAACCACUGGAAGAGAUGGUGUCUGUUCUGUAUAGUGCUAAACUGUGCUUUUUGAGAUGCAUAAUAAAAGUUAUUUAUGGGCACU